rnacentral:rRNA from 1 species
UUGCAUAAUUCAAAAGCGGAGGAAAAGAAACCAAGAUUGCCCUAGUAACGGCGAGUGAAGCGGCAACAGCUCAAAUUUGAAAUCUGGCUCUUUCAGAGUCCGAGUUGUAAUUUGCAGAGGGCGCUUUGGCUUUGGCAGCGGUCCAAGUUCCUUGGAACAGGACGUCACAGAGGGUGAGAAUCCCGUACGUGGUCGCUAGCUAUUGCCGUGUAAAGCCCCUUCGACGAGUCGAGUUGUUUGGGAAUGCAGCUCUAAAUGGGAGGUAAAUUUCUUCUAAAGCUAAAUAUUGGCCAGAGACCGAUAGCGCACAAGUAGAGUGAUCGAAAGAUGAAAAGCACUUUGGAAAGAGAGUCAAACAGCACGUGAAAUUGUUGAAAGGGAAGCGCUUGCAGCCAGACUUGCUUGCAGUUGCUCAUCCGGGCUUUUGCCCGGUGCACUCUUCUGCAGGCAGGCCAGCAUCAGUUUGGGCGGUGGGAUAAAGGUCUCUGUCAUGUACCUCUCUUCGGGGAGGCCUUAUAGGGGAGGCGACAUACCACCAGCCUAGACUGAGGUCCGCGCAUCUGCUAGGAUGCUGGCGUAUGGCUGUAAGCGGCCCGUCUU